rnacentral:rRNA from 1 species
UACGUAGGGACCAAGCGUUGUUCGGAUUUACUGGGCGUAAAGGGCGCGUAGGCGGCAUGACAAGUCACUUGUGAAAUCUCCGGGCUUAACUCGGAACGGUCAACUGAUACUGCUCGGCUAGAGUGCGGAAGGGGCAACUGGAAUUCUUGGUGUAGCGGUGAAAUGCGUAGAUAUCAAGAGGAACACCUGCGGCGAAGGCGGGUUGCUGGGCCGACACUGACGCUGAUGCGCGAAAGCUAGGGGAGCGAACGGG